CCUACGGGGGGCUGCAGUGAGGAAUAUUGGACAAUGGGCGCAAGCCUGAUCCAGCCAUGCCGCGUGCAGGAUGACGGUCCUAUGGAUUGUAAACUGCUUUUGCACAGGAAGAAACACCCCCUCGUGAGGGGGCUUGACGGUACUGUGAGAAUAAGGAUCGGCUAACUCCGUGCCAGCAGCCGCGGUAAUACGGAGGAUCCAAGCGUUAUCCGGAAUCAUUGGGUUUAAAGGGUCCGUAGGCGGUUUAGUAAGUCAGUGGUGAAAGCCCAUCGCUCAACGGUGGAACGGCCAUUGAUACUGCUAGACUUGAAUUAUAAGGAAGUAACUAGAAUAUGUAGUGUAGCGGUGAAAUGCUUAGAGAUUACAUGGAAUACCAAUUGCGAAGGCAGGUUACUACUUAUGGAUUGACGCUGAUGGACGAAAGCGUGGGUAGCGAACAGGAUUAGAUACCCUAGUAGUC
rnacentral:rRNA from 1 species